rnacentral:rRNA from 1 species
GAAGACAUGAAGUNNNNNNNNNNNNNNNNNNNNNUUUAGCAUAUAAGUAAGCGGAGGAUAAGAAACUAAACAGGAUUCCCUCAGUAAUGGCGAAUGAACAGGGAUGAGCUCAGUAUGGAAAUUGGGCCCUGUGGCCUUGAAUUGUAGUCUGGAGAUGUAUCACCAACUGGGGCGCAGAUGUAAGCCUCUUGGAAAAGAGCAUCAAUGAGGGUGAGAGUCCCGCUUGGCAUCUGCAGUCCCCAGUGCACGGUGUAACUUCAAAGAGUCACGUUCCUCGGGAUUGGAGCGCAAAUUGGGUGGUAAAUUUCAUCUAAAGCUAAAUAUUGCUUCGAGACCGAUAGCAAACAAGUACCAUGAGGGAAAGGUGAAAAGGACUUUGAAAAGAGAGUUAAAAGUGCCUGAAAUUGCUGAAAGGGAAGCGAAUGGAGCCAGCGUACCUUGGCAAGAUUGCUACGUGUCAAUGUAUUGCUUGCUUCCUCAACGUAAGUGUGGUUGUAAGUCUUGAGCAAGCCAUGCGUGGUGCUUCUUGCCUUGUGUGUCACUGCCAGUUCGCAGCUGAGGAAAACUUCAGGGACAUGGUAGCGUGCCCCCGGGUGUGUGAAUGUGCCUGCUGGAACUCGUUUGUGGAUUGCUUGGUGAUUAAAUGGUUCCAUCCGACCCGUCUUGAAACACGGACCAAGGAGUCU